rnacentral:rRNA from 1 species
GGUUAAGCGACUAAGCGUACACGGUGGAUGCCCUGGCAGUCAGAGGCGAUGAAGGACGUGCUAAUCUGCGAUAAGCGUCGGUAAGGUGAUAUGAACCGUUAUAACCGGCGAUUUCCGAAUGGGGAAACCCAGUGUGAUUCGUCACACUAUCAUUAACUGAAUCCAUAGGUUAAUGAGGCGAACCGGGGGAACUGAAACAUCUAAGUACCCCGAGGAAAAGAAAUCAACCGAGAUUCCCCCAGUAGCGGCGAGCGAACGGGGAGCAGCCCAGAGCCUGAAUCAGUGUGUGUGUUAGUGGAAGCGUCUGGAAAGGCGUGCGAUACAGGGUGACAGCCCCGUACACAAAAAUGCACAUACUGUGAGCUCGAUGAGUAGGGCGGGACACGUGGUAUCCUGUCUGAAUAUGGGGGACCAUCCUCCAAGGCUAAAUACUCCUGACUGACCGAUAGUGAACCAGUACCGUGAGGGAAAGGCGAAAAGAACCCCGGCGAGGGGAGUGAAAAAGAACCUGAAACCGUGUACGUACAAGCAGUGGGAGCACGCUUAGGCGUGUGACUGCGUACCUUUUGUAUAAUGGGUCAGCGACUUAUAUUCUGUAGCAAGGUUAACCGAAUAGGGGAGCCGAAGGGAAACCGAGUCUUAACUGGGCGUUAAGUUGCAGGGUAUAGACCCGAAACCCGGUGAUCUAGCCAUGGGCAGGUUGAAGGUUGGGUAACACUAACUGGAGGACCGAACCGACUAAUGUUGAAAAAUUAGCGGAUGACUUGUGGCUGGGGGUGAAAGGCCAAUCAAACCGGGAGAUAGCUGGUUCUCCCCGAAAGCUAUUUAGGUAGCGCCUCGUGAAUUCAUCUCCGGGGGUAGAGCACUGUUUCGGCAAGGGGGUCAUCCCGACUUACCAACCCGAUGCAAACUGCGAAUACCGGAGAAUGUUAUCACGGGAGACACACGGCGGGUGCUAACGUCCGUCGUGAAGAGGGAAACAACCCAGACCGCCAGCUAAGGUCCCAAAGUCAUGGUUAAGUGGGAAACGAUGUGGGAAGGCCCAGACAGCCAGGAUGUUGGCUUAGAAGCAGCCAUCAUUUAAAGAAAGCGUAAUAGCUCACUGGUCGAGUCGGCCUGCGCGGAAGAUGUAACGGGGCUAAACCAUGCACCGAAGCUGCGGCAGCGACGCUUAUGCGUUGUUGGGUAGGGGAGCGUUCUGUAAGCCUGUGAAGGUGUGCUGUGAGGUAUGCUGGAGGUAUCAGAAGUGCGAAUGCUGACAUAAGUAACGAUAAAGCGGGUGAAAAGCCCGCUCGCCGGAAGACCAAGGGUUCCUGUCCAACGUUAAUCGGGGCAGGGUGAGUCGACCCCUAAGGCGAGGCCGAAAGGCGUAGUCGAUGGGAAACAGGUUAAUAUUCCUGUACUUGGUGUUACUGCGAAGGGGGACGGAGAAGGCUAUGUUGGCCGGGCGACGGUUGUCCCGGUUUAAGCGUGUAGGCUGGUUUUCCAGGCAAAUCCGGAAAAUCAAGGCCGAGGCGUGAUGACGAGGCACUACGGUGCUGAAGCAACAAAUGCCCUGCUUCCAGGAAAAGCCUCUAAGCAUCAGGUAACAUCAAAUCGUACCCCAAACCGACACAGGUGGUCAGGUAGAGAAUACCAAGGCGCUUGAGAGAACUCGGGUGAAGGAACUAGGCAAAAUGGUGCCGUAACUUCGGGAGAAGGCACGCUGAUACGUAGGUGAAGCGACUUGCUCGUGGAGCUGAAAUCAGUCGAAGAUACCAGCUGGCUGCAACUGUUUAUUAAAAACACAGCACUGUGCAAACACGAAAGUGGACGUAUACGGUGUGACGCCUGCCCGGUGCCGGAAGGUUAAUUGAUGGGGUUAGCGCAAGCGAAGCUCUUGAUCGAAGCCCCGGUAAACGGCGGCCGUAACUAUAACGGUCCUAAGGUAGCGAAAUUCCUUGUCGGGUAAGUUCCGACCUGCACGAAUGGCGUAAUGAUGGCCAGGCUGUCUCCACCCGAGACUCAGUGAAAUUGAACUCGCUGUGAAGAUGCAGUGUACCCGCGGCAAGACGGAAAGACCCCGUGAACCUUUACUAUAGCUUGACACUGAACAUUGAGCCUUGAUGUGUAGGAUAGGUGGGAGGCUUUGAAGUGUGGACGCCAGUCUGCAUGGAGCCGACCUUGAAAUACCACCCUUUAAUGUUUGAUGUUCUAACGUGGACCCGUGAUCCGGGUUGCGGACAGUGUCUGGUGGGUAGUUUGACUGGGGCGGUCUCCUCCUAAAGAGUAACGGAGGAGCACGAAGGUUGGCUAAUCCUGGUCGGACAUCAGGAGGUUAGUGCAAUGGCAUAAGCCAGCUUGACUGCGAGCGUGACGGCGCGAGCAGGUGCGAAAGCAGGUCAUAGUGAUCCGGUGGUUCUGAAUGGAAGGGCCAUCGCUCAACGGAUAAAAGGUACUCCGGGGAUAACAGGCUGAUACCGCCCAAGAGUUCAUAUCGACGGCGGUGUUUGGCACCUCGAUGUCGGCUCAUCACAUCCUGGGGCUGAAGUAGGUCCCAAGGGUAUGGCUGUUCGCCAUUUAAAGUGGUACGCGAGCUGGGUUUAGAACGUCGUGAGACAGUUCGGUCCCUAUCUGCCGUGGGCGCUGGAGAACUGAGGGGGCUGCUCCUAGUACGAGAGGACCGGAGUGGACGCAUCACUGGUGUUCGGGUUGUCAUGCCAAUGGCACUGCCCGGUAGCUAAAUGCGGAAGAGAUAAGUGCUGAAAGCAUCUAAGCACGAAACUUGCCCCGAGAUGAGUUCUCCCUGACCCUUUAAGGGUCCUGAAGGAACGUUGAAGACGACGACGUUGAUAGGCCGGGUGUGUAAGCGCAGCGAUGCGUUGAGCUAACCGGUACUAAUGAACCGUGAGGCUUAACCUU